rnacentral:rRNA from 1 species
GACGAACGCUGGCGGCGUGCUUAACACAUGCAAGUCGAACGGAAAGGCCCUGCUUUUGUGGGGUGCUCGAGUGGCGAACGGGUGAGUAACACGUGAGUAACCUGCCCUUGACUUUGGGAUAACUUCAGGAAACUGGGGCUAAUACCGGAUAGGAGUUCCUGCUGCAUGGUGGGGGUUGGAAAGUUUCGGCGGUUGGGGAUGGACUCGCGGCUUAUCAGCUUGUUGGUGGGGUAGUGGCUUACCAAGGCUUUGACGGGUAGCCGGCCUGAGAGGGUGACCGGCCACAUUGGGACUGAGAUACGGCCCAGACUCCUACGGGAGGCAGCGGUGGGGAAUAUUGCACAAUGGGCGGAAGCCUGAUGCAGCAACGCCGCGUGCGGGAUGACGGCCUUCGGGUUGUAUACCGCUUUCGCCUGUGACGAAGCGUGAGUGACGGUAAUGGGUAAAGAAGCACCGGCUAACUACGUG